GCAUAACUGAAGAAUCAAAUGAUUACUAAUAUAUUGAGGGUAAUCUUAAAGUUUACUGAUGUG
rnacentral:snoRNA from 1 species